GUCAAAAAUAUAUUUUCUAUGCAUCAAAUGUAGUAACAUCAGUAAAAUUAGGGUCAACAUCUGUGUUUUAACUGAAGAACAUGUAUAAUGGAAAAUGGUUUUAGAAAAACAUUCAUUUUUACUAAGAAUGAACAACUUCACAGUGUUGGGACUGAGACAAUUUCGUUUAAUUCUUUAAAAUGAUCUCCCCUGUUUUUGAAAACAGCCUUGGGCACAGGGCCCCAUAGCCAGCUUGUAAAGGCGUGAAGGAUAAUUGGGGUCAAUAUUACAGCGGUUCCUCAAGUCGUCCAAUACUGGGCUCCGCGGGGUUUUCCUGCACCUCUACAGUGGAGGUUUAUAUAAAGUUUAUGUACAGUUACAGUGGGUCGUGUUACAGACCAGAACCGUCACACGCCAACAGUAAUGUCAUGCGUCCAAAGCGAUGCACGCGCAUGGCAAGCCGUUAAAACAUUCAGUCGCUAGACUCCCUCUUAGUCAAAAAGAACGUCUCAGAUAUCCAGAGCGUCAUUCCUCCUAGGACAACUGACGUCACUCACGCCAUUCAUGGCGAUUUCAAACAUUCACUACGUCACUCUUCAUACACAGAAUGAACGUUCCAGAAUCAACCCUCUACAAUUCAAUUGUUAUUAGUAAUACUUUUUAUUCCAUAUAUACAUAAGGUCAUUUUGAAUAUCAAAAAUACAUGUGACUGGUAAAAUGUCAUUACAGAUAUUCACAAUUGGCAUUCUGACUCAUAAAAAUGUUAUUUCAGAUAAUACAAUUAUGACCAGAAACAAUGCACUUUCAUAUAUCCAGUGUAUUGUGGAUGGUGCUCCCCUGACCUCUUAGGCCCCAAGGCCUGUGCCCAGUUGGCCCAUUUGGUAAACAAUCCAUACUUUUAUAUUAAGUGAUUUUAUUACUUCUAAAGAAAUAUUUCUGACAGAUAAAUGGUUAAAAAAAUUACUAACUUUCAUAACAGUAGGUUGGGGUUAUGUGAUGUCAAAAUAUGCUCACAACACAACCAAAUUAUUUCUAAAACCUAUUUUCUAUCUAUUUUGUAUUUUACUGACAGAGACGCAGGUUCAGGAGGAGUAGGGUGCUGAAGGACUUGAUGCAUGCACUCUGUUCCUGAUGACAAGCACAGCAGCGCCCCAUCUGCUGGUGGUACUGCUAUUGCUGCUACUGCUGCUCCUGUUGUUGCAGCCAUAGACAGCCCAGUGCUGAUAACCUACACAGAAGAUUUCUAUCAAGUCACCAGGCUCUGGCUCUAGCCUUGUCAGAGGUAUGUGUGAGUGCUUUAGUUUACUGUGGUUCAAGUGUUGAUGGGAUCUGCUAACUGUAGUUUUAGCCAUUGUCUGAGCCUGAUACGAUCAGUGCCUGAAGGAACAAAUCAAUAACAGAUAUUACCAAAAAAGUUUCACUGGGCAGGAGCCAUGUUUACUCCUCCAUAUCCAUGUACAGAUUCACAUUGUGGAUGCUGAGCGUUGCACCUUUGUAGUGUGAAACUAUAGUGACAUUAUUUUUCAAAGAAUUUAGCUUGAUAUAAAAUCUAAGGAUGAUGUGAUUCUCAAAGUAGAACAUUUGUAAUGAACAGUAACUUCCAGAAGUGUUGGGACAGAAAGUUAGUUAGAAAGCAAUGUGUUGACAUGAAACACAAUGAAAGCUUAUUUUGCAAUAGAGAAACACAUGACCAACAUGAAUGUAUAUAUCCAUCUAUCCAUUAUCUACACCACUUAUCCGUUAAGGGUUGCGGUGGUGCUGGAGCCUAUCUGAAUGUAUAUGUAUUUUCAUAUAUUUUUUGCUGCUGUUGCUUGUAGUGCUGGUACUCCUAGUACUACUGUGAGUUGAUUGUUAAUAGAUUAAACCAGUCGUUCCAGCC